CCUGGAGACGCUGAGAAAGCACGGAAGGAAUGUCUGUGGAGGAUGUACUCAAAAAACACCCAUACUUAAGAACACCUGCUGGAGGGGACCCUGCUACACCCUUUCCUACCAUACAGCUGAUGGAUACUGACUGUAUAAUAGCAAUCAUAGGAGGAGGGCUCAGUGUGGUGACAGAAGAUGGAAUAGACGUGUGGCAGUGCACCAGCCUUGAUGAAGCCUUCAUAACAGCCUUCUGGAUGUAUUCUGCUUUCAACAUUGCAUAUCCAACACACCUGAGAAAGACACUGACUUUCCUUCAGAGGCACAUUGUCAACAUUAGAAGAUGGAGACAAGCACUGCCAGUAUCAUUGACUGGAAGUCUGUCAGUCCAGAUGUGAGGAAGACAUACAGAGUGGCUGUAGAUAGUGUGGUCUUGGAAAGAAGGGGGUCUUCACAGCUUUCUAUUCAGACAAAGAGUUUGCUGGAUUCUGUUCUGUGGACUGCUACUACAGAAUGAAUGAAUG
ensembl:lncRNA